rnacentral:rRNA from 1 species
GAUGAACGCUGACAGAAUGCUUAACACAUGCAAGUCAACUGUGGCGGACGGGUGAGUAACGCGUAAAGAACUUGCCUCACGGAUAGGGACAACAUUUGGAAACGAAUGCUAGUAACUGAUACUGUGAGAGAGCUUGGCGUCCCAUUAGCUAAUGGGAGAGGUAACGGCUCACCAAGGCGAUGAUGGGUAGCCGGCCUGAGAGGGUGAUCGGCCACAAGGGGACUGAGAGACGGCCCUUACGCCUACGGGGGGCAGCAGUGAGGAAUAUUGGACAAAGGACCAAAGUCUGUUCCAGCAAUUCUGUGUGAACGAUGAAGUUUUCGGAAUGUAAAGUGCUUUCAGUUGAGAAGCGGUACCAACAGAAGAAGUGACGGCUAACUACGUGCCAGCAGCCGCGGUAAUAC